CCCUCCCUGUGAACUGGUUCUUAAAGAAUGAAUAGAAGUUACUUACGCAAAGGUAGGAGAGAGAAGGGAGGACAUUCUCAGCAGAGAAUCCCUUGGUUCGAGGGGAACAGCGGAGGAAUAUGUCAAGCAAACAUCUCAAAUCAUGCUCUUUUAUAUGCUUUCAGGAUACCCUAAACCUAGCUUAAUACUCAGCAAGAACAGACAUUAGAUGCUGGGAUUAGGGAGAUUUAAGGAGCCAUAUUGCCCUGUGUCUUAAAGAGGGUAACAGAGGAUUACCCACUGUCUCAGCCUCAGGCACCACCUUGAAGUCUACAAAAAGUGUUCGGUGUUUGCUUCCUGGAGGCCUACCCCUCACCCCAGACACCUAUUUCCCUUCUAUGCCUGCAGCUCAAACUCCAUUCCAGGGUAAAUACCAGUUCAGCUGUAAAGCAGCCUGCAGGGUCAGAGAGGAACCACAGGGAGGCGCUGCUCCCUUCAGUUAGUCGUUUGACACAAAUUCAUCACGCAUUCGUCGUGUGUUUCUGAGCACGUAUGUCUUUCUUUAAAGCCUGUGAUAUGACCUUGCAGGUCCGUUUGGCUUGCUUCACACGGGAGUCAAGAUUUCCUAGGCGAUUCCACCAAAGGAUCAAGAAACUGGAGGAACAACCCUCUCAGCUUUGGGUAUAUUCCCAAAUGAAACCUUCCACUGCUUCUUCACAGGCCAUGCCGUCUGCUUCCUACUUAGGACUUUCAAUCUUGCUGAUAUUGAGAGGGAUCAAUGGAGACUCAGUGACCCAGACAGAAGGUUCUGUUACCCUCUUUGAGGGGACACCUUUGACCCUGAAUUGCACUUACCAGAGUAGCUACGCAGUUUUUGUUUUCUGGUAUGUCCAGCACCAAAACAAAGCUCCUCAAUUGCUCCUGAAAAGCUUAUCAGAAAACCAGAGGGCAGAGCAUCAUGGUUUUCACGCCAGUCUUGUUAAGAGUGACAGCUCCUUCCACCUGCAGAAACGCUCUGUGAGAAUGUCAGACUCGGCUGUGUACUACUGCGUCCUAGGAGGCACAGUGAGAUCGCCUGCAGGGGGAGCCGAGCGCAAACCCAGAGGGGGGCAGGAGGGCCCUGGAUGUGAGCAGCCUGGGAGGGGAGAAUGAUGAUUUUUCUCUAGUUAGAGUCUUGUGCUGGGCGCGGCCCCCAGGGAACAGAUACCUGAUGCCUCCGCCCUCAGGCACCCCGAGUUUUACCUCGAGCUAGGAAUGGAAGGAGGCAAUGUAGGUGAAAACUUAGAUUAUCAUUAUGCCUAUACAUAGAAUCCUAUAGUCAAUGGCCUUUUGUGUCUGGUUUCUUUCACACAGCAUCACCUUUUCAAGGUGUAUCCAUGUAUCAGUACUUUAGUACUUCUGUGGCUGCGCAAUAAUCCAUUGUAUGGAUACCCUAUAUUUUCUUUGUCCAUUCAUCAGUUGAUGGGCAUUUUGGUUGUUUCCACUUUUUGUGAAAACACUCAUGUACAGGAGCUCUGCUCUUUCAAACUUGAAUAUAUUUUAAGUUAGAGAUUUCUGGGUAUUUUUUCGUUUUGUUUUUUGCUUUAUUUGGGACUAACGUUUCUUUGUGGAUAUGCAAUUGAAUAAAUAUGAGAAAAUGCUCCUUACAAAUAAUGACUUAUACUAAAGUAAGAUACUAUUCUAAGCUAUAUAUAUAUUCAUUCAAGAAAAUUUGGCACCUACUCAUAUGUGCCAGUCAUUUUAAUAAGUAUUGGGAAUAUAUUUUAGGUAACAGAGUCUCCUCCUUUAGGAUUUUAUAAAAAUUUUGUGUGCAUUAAAAUACCACACAAGUCUUAAAAUUAUGUGUUUUUUUUUUUUUUUAACAAAUCAUUUUAUUCAUUUACUGAACUGUGUUUGUUCCUAAAUAUUUGUGGUGCUUACA